rnacentral:rRNA from 1 species
UACGUAGGGUGCGAGCGUUAAUCGGAAUUACUGGGCGUAAAGCGUGCGCAGGCGGUUCGUUGUGUCCGAUGUGAAAGCCCCAGGCUUAACCUGGGAAUGGCAUGGGAAACUGGCGAGCUGGAGUGUGGCAGAGGGGGGUGGAACUCCUGGUGUAGCAGUGAAAUGCGUAGAGAUCAGGAAGAACACCGAUGGCGAAGGCAGCCCCCUGGGCCAACACUGACGCUCAGGCACGAAAGCGUGGGGAGCAAACAGG